AACGAACGCUGGCGGCAUGCCUAACACAUGCAAGUCGAACGAGACCUUCGGAUCUAGUGGCGCACGGGUGCGUAACGCGUGGGAACCUGCCCGUAGGCUCGGAAUAAUUCUCCGAAGGGGGUGCUAAUACAGGAUAAUGUCUUCGGAUCAAAGAUUCAUCGCCCUUGGAUGGGCCCGCGUUGGUUAAGCUAGUUGGUAGGGUAAAAGCCUACCAAGGCGAGGAUCGAUAGCUGGUCUGAGAGGAUGAGCAGCCACACUGGGACUGAGACACGGCCCAGACUCCUGCGGGAGGGAGCAAUGGGGGAUACUGGAAUAUGGGGGGAAGCCUGAUCCAGCAAUGCCGGGUGAGUGAUGAAGGCCGUAAGGUUGUAAAGCUCGUUUACCCGGGAUGAUAAUGACAGUACCGGAAGAAUAAGCUCCGGCUAACUCCGUG
rnacentral:rRNA from 1 species